rnacentral:ncRNA from 1 species
GUAAAUGUAGUGCGAAAGAGGAGUAGCCCUGUAUUCUUAUCAGAGAGAGACCGGAAGGUGCAAGGUCUUAAGAAGAAAGGGUGAAGGUAGCUUUCAAACAGCAUCUCUGAGAAAGUGCGGUAUGCAGAUUAGGAGAUGACGGCUUCCCCGUUAUGGAAAUAAAGGUGAUGAGUUUAAACGUAAUGUUAAAAUUUUAUCAUAAAAUAAGGUGGUACAGCGGGAUAUGCUCUCGCCCUUAGC